UGUGGUAAUUCUAGAGCUAAUACAUGCACCAAAGCUCCGAUUUUUUGACGAGCGCAUCUAUUAGAUUAAAACCAAUCGGGUUUCGGCCCGUCAAUUGGUGACUCUGAAUAACUAUGGCUGAUCGCAUGGUCUUGAACCGGCGACGUGUCUAUCAAGUGUCUGCCUUAUCAACUGUCGAUGGUAGUUUAUGUGCCUACCAUGGUUGUAACGGGUAACGGAGAAUAAGGGUUCGACUCCGGAGAGGGAGCCUGAGAAACGGCUACCACAUCCAAGGAAGGCAGCAGGCGCGCAAAUUACCCACUCUCGGCAUGAGGAGGUAGUGACGAAAAAUAACGAGACCGUUCUCUCUGAGGCCGGUUAUCGGAAUGGGUACAAUUUAAACCCGUUAACGAGGAUCUAUGAGAGGGCAAGUCUGGUGCCAGCAGCCGCGGUAAUUCCAGCUCUCAAAGUGUAUAUCGUCAUUGCUGCGGUUAAAAAGCUCGUAGUUGGAUCUGCGCCUCAGGACUUGGUCCGCCCACUGGGCGAGAACUGGGCUCCUGGGCUAGUACUGCUGGUUUUCCCUACGUUGCCUUCAUCGGUCGCGUAGGGUGGCUAGCGAGUUUACUUUGAAAAAAUUAGAGUGCUUCACGCGGGCUUAUGUCUGAAUACUCGUGCAUGGAAUAAUAGAAUAGGAUCUCGGUUCUAUUUUGUUGGUUUUCUGAUCUGAGAUAAUGGUUAAGAGGGACGGACGGGGGCAUUCGUAUCGCUGCGUGAGAGGUGAAAUUCUUGGACCGUAGCGAGACGUCCGACUGCGAAAGCAUUUGCCAAGAAUGUCUUCAUUAAUCAAGAACGAAAGUCAGAGGUUCGAAGGCGAUCAGAA
rnacentral:rRNA from 1 species